rnacentral:rRNA from 1 species
UACGAACUGUGCGAACGUUAUUCGGAAUCACUGGGCUUACAGGGUGCGUAGGCGGCUACUUAAGUCGGAUGUGAAAGCCCUUGGCUCAACUGAGGAAGUGCACCCGAAACUGAGUAGCUGGAGUACGAAAGAGGGUCGCGGAAUUCCCGGUGUAGAGGUGAAAUUCGUAGAUAUCGGGAGGAACACCGGUGGCGAAGGCGGCGACCUGGGUCGAUACUGACGCUGAGGCGCGAAAGCGUGGGGAGCAAACAGG